GCUCAGAAACUCAAUGAAUUGACGGGGCCGCACAAGCGGUGGAGUAUGUGGUUUAAUUCGAUGCAACGCGAAGAACCUUACCUGGUCUUGACAUCCCGGAGACCCUUAGGAAACUAGGGGUGCUUCCAUCUGGAAGAAUCUGGAGACAGGUGCUGCAUGGCUGUCGUCAGCUCGUGUCGUGAGAUGUUGGGUUAAGUCCCGCAACGAGCGCAACCCUUGCCUUUAGUUGCCAGCAGUUCGGCUGGGCACUCUAAAGGGACUGCCGGUGUUAAACCGGAGGAAGGUGGGGAUGACGUCAAGUCCUCAUGGCCUUUAUGACCAGGGCUACACACGUACUACAAUGGCCGAUACAAAGGGCAGCGACACUGCGAGGUGAAGCCAAUCCCGUAAAAUCGGUCUCAGUCCGGAUUGGAGUCUGCAACUCGACUCCAUGAAGUUGGAAUCGCUAGUAAUCGUGGAUCAGCAUGCCACGGUGAAUACGUUCCCGGGCCUU
rnacentral:rRNA from 1 species